CAUGCGUUCCAUUAGGCAGUUGGCGGGUAACGGCCCACCAAACCGACGAUGUAUAGGGGUUCUGAGAGGAAGGUCCCCCACAUUGGUACUGAGACACGGACCAAACUCCUACGGGAGGCAGCAGUGAGGAAUAUUGGUCAAUGGCCGAGAGGCUGAACCAGCCAAGUCGCGUGAGGGAUGAAGGUUCUAUGGAUCGUAAACCUCUUUUAUAAGGGAAUAAAGUGCGGGACGUGUCCCGUUUUGUAUGUACCUUAUGAAUAAGGAUCGGCUAACUCCGUGCCAGCAGCCGCGGUAAUACGGAGGAUCCGAGCGUUAUCCGGAUUUACUUGGGUUUAAACGGGUGCGUAGGCGGCCUUUUAAGUCAUGCGGUGAAAUGUCUGUGGCUCAAUCCAUAGAACUUGCUCGUUGAAAUCUGGGGGGUCUUGAUUACUGUUUGAGGCAGGCGUGAAUGCGUGGUGUAUGCGGUGAAAUGCAUAGAUAUCACGCAGAACCCCGAUUGCGAAUGGCAGCCUGCCAAGCCAUUACUGAC
rnacentral:rRNA from 1 species